AGAGUAUCCAUGACACUUGUAUCCCUGGCAUUGUUCAGAAGCCCCUCUGAAAAAGAUUAUAAGACACUAUGACAUGGAUAUCCAGGAGGCCACAGGACAACAUACAGAAGCAAAAACAUUCAUUGACUAUGACGGCUCUAAACGACAGCAUGAAGAAAAGGAAAGAAAAAACAACAAAUGAAAAUGGCUGUGGAGUUCACGAUGGCUUAUCACUUAAAUGUGAUAAUAAUAAUACAGGAGAUCACUGAAGAUAAUUCCCACUUGCCGGAGAGGAAGAAACUACAACCUAUGGCGGUUGGGUCUCAUCUAAUACUUCCCUGUAGAACAGCAGAGCUGGGAUAAAGAACGGCCAUCUUCUAGGGUCCUCCCACUCGGCUGCAAUCAUCCCUUCACAUCUGCCAUAGGCUGUGAAAGCCAUUAGAACAUUAACUUAUACUCUUAUAAUCUUGUACUCUUACCAACUGUAUUGAUUCUUUACAAUAUACUGUCCUGUGGAUAUGUAUUUUUUGUUUUAGAAUUGAAUUAAAUUACUUUAAAAUGUAAAUUUAUUUUAGUAAAUUCAUGACUUCUU